CUGAUCUGCCUGCUGUCCAGAAGGAGACAGGGAAGGGGCAGGAAGGGCAGCACCUGUCUGAGGACAAGUGUCCAUCAGCCUAAAGGCUGGGCCUCUUAACCCUGGUGAAUUCUGACAAACGAAAACAGAUCUGCGAGGGGCAGGAGAAGCCAGGGACAGGAAUAAGGUUGCUCCCUCCCAGUGGAGCAAGCACUGCCUUGAAGAGAAGGUGGGGGAGCAACAACAGACUUUCUCUUCCUGCCAGCUGGGUUAUUAGGAAGCUCUCCUCUGGCUGGAUCUGGUUUUUAACUUUUUUUUUUUUCUUUUUUUUGAGAUGGAGUUUCACUCUUGUUGUCUAGGCUGGAGUGCAGUGGCACGAUCUCGGCUCACCACAGCCUCCGCCUCCCAGUUCAAGUGAUUCUCCUGCCUCAGCCUCCAGAGUAGCUGGGAUUACAGGUGCCUGCCACCAUGCCCAGCUCAUUUUUUUUUUUUUUUUUGAGAUGGAGUUUCACUCCGUCGCCAGGCUGGGGUGCAGAGGUGCAGUCUCGGCUCACUGCAACCUCCGACUCCCUGAACGAUUCUCCUGCCUCAGCCUCACGAGUAGCUGGGAUUAUAGGCACGUGCCACCACGCACAGCUAAUUUUUGUAUUUUUAGUAGAGACGGGGUUUCACCAUGUUGGCCAGGAUGGUCUCAAUCUCCUCACCUUGUGAUCCGCCCGCCUCAGCCUCCCAAAGUGCUGGCACUACAGGCGUGAGCCACCGCGCCUGGCCUCAUUUUGUAUUUUUAGUAGAGAUGGGGUUUCACCAUGUUGGCCAUGGUUGGUCUUGAAAUCCUGACCUCAGGUGAUCUGCCCGCCUCAGCCUCCCAAAGUAUUGGGAUUACAGGCGUGAGCCACCGUUCCCCGUUGGUCGUUAACAUUAAAUAAGGGGGCUGGUCGUGGUGGCUCACGCCUGUAACCCCAGCACUUUGGGAGGCCGAGGUGGGCAGAUCACCUGAGGUCGAGAGUUCAAGACCAGCCUGACCAACAUGGAGAAACCCCGUCUCUACUAAAAAUACAAAAUUAUCUGGGUGUGGUGGUGCAUGCCUGUAAUCCCAGCUACUUGGGAAGCUGAAGCAGGAGAAUUGCUUGAACCUGGGAAGUGGAGGUUGCGGUGAGCCGAGAUUGCACCACUGCACUCCAGCCUGGGCAACAAGAGUGAAACUCCAUCUCAAUAAAUAAGUAAAUAAAUAAAUAAAUAAAUAAAGGGACAGGCAGAGGGCUGACAACCGAAACCCCUCUAUUUCCUUUGUGUGUCCAAGAAGGAGGAAGCAGGGAGAAGGGAUGAUGGAAAAGGGAAGGGAUACAUCAGACUAGGGGGUGGAGGGUGACUGACCCCAGGAGACAAGUGUAGCUUGAAUAUAUACCCAGACAAUUCCAGUCUCCCCUUCCUCAGUACUCUAGUUCAAUACUACUUCCAUGGUCAUCUGCUAGACAUCUCUUGUGUCCCAAGCACUGUGUUUGUAAUCUUGUGGAGAAGAUGGAAGUUGAAACGAAGAACCAUAGCCCAAGGAGAAUGAAGUCAGGCCUGCGUAAUGGUAAAGCAACAUUGUGGUAUACAGAGGCCAAUAAUAAUCCUAGAUGGAAAAAUCAGGAGGGCUUCUUGGAGGUGA
rnacentral:lncRNA from 10 species